GCGCGAGUGGUGGAAUUGGCAGACACGCUAGCCUUAGGAGCUAGUGGCCGUAAGGCCGUGGAGGUUCGAGUCCUCUCUCGCGCACCA
rnacentral:tRNA from 1 species